GUAGGGAAUAUUGGUCAAUGGACGAAAGUCUGAACCAGCCAUUCCGCGUGCAGGAAGAAGAUUCUAUGGAUUGUAAACUGCUUUUAGCAGAGAAGAAACGCCUUCAUUGAUGAGGGUUUGACGGUAUCUGCGGAAUAAGCACCGGCUAACUCCGUGCCAGCAGCCGCGGUAAUACGGGGGGUGCAAGCGUUAUCCGGAAUCACUGGGUUUAAAGGGUGCGUAGGCGGGAAAUUAAGUCAGUGGUGAAAGUCUGUGCUUAACGAUAGAAUUGCCGUUGAUACUGAUUUUCUUGAAUUGGGUUGAGGUUAGCGGAAUGUGACAUGUAGCGGUGAAAUGCAUAGAUAUGUCAUGGAACACCAAUUGCGAAGGCAGCUAGCUGGGCCUUGAUUGACGCUGAGGCACGAAAGCGUGGGUAGCGAACAGGAUUAGAAACCCCGGUAGUCC
rnacentral:rRNA from 1 species